GCUAGCAGUUCUCUCAGACGCUUCCUGUCUCUCUUCAGAGAAGGUGUGAGUAGAAGAAAGCAAAGUAGAGCCAUGACCUCCCCACCAGAUGGCUGGCUGAGCUCCCUCUCAUGCCAUUUGUCCUUCUGGACAUUUGUAGACCUGGAAGAUGCAUGCUUAGGGAUGGAGGGAACUCUGCCUCAAACUACAAUCUAUUGUGGGCUCACAACUACUAAACUGAUGAACUUCAGUUCUCUCAUCAAAGAUUGAAAUGGUAUCCGAGAAGGUGACCUCAAAACAGAGUUAAUUCUUCUGGAAGCAGGCUGACACAUUUUCUAAGAUUCUAGGACAAAGGGACAGUCAAGUAUGAAGUUUCUGAAUGGCCUAUUCCAGGAUCUAAAAUAUAAAACCAUUUCGGAACGAGUCACUUACCUGCAACCCAAGACAGAAAACCAUCUUUGCAGGAAUGAGAAAGAGCUUAAUGAUGCAGCAGGAGAAAAAGAAAGCCUGCAAGCAUGGACACCAACUCUACAGGGAUCCUUGGUCUUGGGUGCAAAAGGAUUCAUGGACAGAAUUCUGGAUUGGAAAAUGGAGGAUGUACAAAGAUUUGGGUCAGAAAAGGUAACAUUUUUGUUUCAAUAAUCUCUAAUUGAAAUGUAUGACAAAUACUGC
rnacentral:lncRNA from 1 species